AUGCACUUUGAUAACGGCCAAAACACGUGAUGACUCCAAGUUGAUUUACACUACAAGUUGAAUGUGAAUUUUCAGCGUAACGUUUUAUUUGUCGUUGAUAUGUUACUAGUUAUUUUGUAUUAUCAUGACAACUUCAAUAGUCUUUUAUGAUACCGACUAAAAAACAACUAAAAGGACAUUUUACUGUGUAUUUUACACUUUUAUUGUAUUUUAGCAUGUGAUUUAGGUUUCUUUUUAAAUCAUCCAUAUUUAAAACAAUAGAAAUAACAGGACUUUAUCAUUAGCAGCAUAUAAUUACUAAAUUCUAUUACGUUGGGCGUACGUUAUGUUUUACAAAAUAGUUCCAUUUAAUAAAAAAAUAUUAGUUAAAAUUACUCAAAAAGAAGAACAUGUUACACCAACUUGACAUAUUUAAGUUAGUAGAACUUUCUCUAAAACUUUGAGUAUACACUACUUAAUCUAUUUGAUUAAUUUGGACGUUCGGGUUUACAGUGUGUGAUAGAUAUAUAGAUAUUUAUAUAUUUUUUUAGAACAAAGGACAAUGCGAGAAUCCCUGUCAAUGUUUUAGAAAUGUGUCAACAUCACGUUCGGGGCAUGUGAAGAACUAUCUUGAGUACUCUCAAAUUUAAAACCUUGCCUGUGGUCAUUUCUACAGUGUAAAAUCUGUAAAAAAAAAUUUAAAAAAAGAUGUCAUCCAGGAAAUCUGCUCUUCUAUUCGAGAUGAAUAAAGACAACGUGUGUGUAUAAUUUUACUCUCGAGCCAGAACACUUGGUUGUAAAAGGGGAAACUAUUUGGCUUCUGCCAUCAGUAUAAAAAAAAGACACAAAAAAACAUAAAAGCGGACUUUUUGUUUUUAUUCCAGAUUAAAUUCACACCUUGAAGUCACUUUUCUUGAUGUCAUCUGUAACAUUUCACUUCCCUCAGCACGCUCGAGCUCAAAGGUAGACUUGGUGCAGGACCAGGUGGGCGAUGAUGCAACGGAAAAAUCAGCAGGCGGCUGCAGCGCCACCUGUCGGCCGUCUGGUGGUACAACAAGUGCACCAAACCGGCUUUAAAGUGGUGGACAUUUUUAUUUUUUAGUAAACACAUUAUCUGUUAAUACUCCUGGAUUAUUUGAACAUUACAAAUGAUCAAAUCUUUACAGUUAAAUCCACAAACAAAAAGCAUAAGAAUAAGAGCAGGUAGCCUUUUGCAUUAAACACUUUGACGCUUUAACGUGGAACAUUUUGCACACCCGGCUAUCUUAAGUAAUUCAGAGCAUCGGAAUAGACGACGUUGAUGUGGCUUUGUUAUGUUUUCCUACCUGCAGCCGGGUUUUUAUUUGCCGAGGGGAACUUUCCCCCGCGAGUCAUCUGCUCUGCGGAUGAGACGGUCUGCUGGUGUUCGCCGCUCAGCUGCAUCCUGGAAAAUGGGACCGUGCAUCUUCAGUGAGGCAGAAACUGCUGAGCGUCUCCUCGGCUCAUCUAUUGGUUUCUGUUACGAUGGACCGGGUUGUACUUUGUCCAGGGAGAACAUAUUCAAACUGAAAACACCACAUUCCUGCCCCACCCACGCCCCAAAUUCCUUUGUUUUCUUACAGAAGUCUGCAGAAAAAAUAUAUUUUUAACAUUUCGCAUUUUCUUACAAAGCUACGAAUGUAAUUUCAGACAUUGAAAGGCAGAGACACCGUAAAAAAAAAAAAGAAGAGAAGGAAAUGUCCCAAAACACACAAACACAUUAUUUAUUAUCAGCAUAUCAUUUAUUUUCCAGACAUUUAAAUAUCAAGAUGAAUUUUAACUUUCAGACAUGAAGAGUUUAACUGGUGCAUCUGUGUGGUGAAUGGAUGGAGUGGGGGGGGGGGACAUUUAGAAACUAUUAAAUGUAAAGAUUUUGUGUUGUUUCAGGGUCAUGAUGACCUCUGCUUGCUCCUCAAAAUCAAAAAGUCCACAUGUCUCAAGUUGUCUAACAAAAAAUAAAAAUAAAUUAAUGAGAAAACAAACUG